UCCCAAAGUGCUACAGCUGACUAUAAGCGU
rnacentral:piRNA from 1 species